GGAACUCUGGGGUCUCACUAAGAACAAGAUUUAAAGUCAGACGAGUUCCAAAGAUACUUCCUGAAGAGACUCUUGGAUUUUGCCUGUGACAGCCCUCCCCAGGACGAGGAAGGCAGCCUCCCCUUGGGACAGCACUCUACGGACUUCUCAGUGUUGGAAAGAGCUGGGACUCCUACAGGGAAUUCCUACUCUUCAUAUUUGUUCUCUGCUAAACCAGAGGAGACACAUCUUGCUCUAGAGUUCCCCAGAACCUGCUCUUCUGGGUCAGCCUCCUGCUGUCUUAUUCUUCCAUCUUUUCUCCACCUAUGCCCAAAGCACAACCAAGGUCACUUUGUUUCUUGAGCUGAGUUCACGCUGGAGCAUGCAAUGCAACAGAGCUUCUAUUUCCUGGCAGAUGGACCAUGAGCCUGGGCCAGAGAAUCUGGUGCUGAGCUGCUGCAGUCAGCUGAGCUGCUUACGUAACCUGAAGGCUCUCCUGGGAGGACCAUGCUGUGAAAGGCAGCUCUGGUUUGCUUCCCCUCAGAUAAUGUUUAUAUGGCCUUUUGGUCAGAGAAGAAGCAAAGAUAAUCCCCCUGACCCUCAGGUUGAGGAGACACAGAUCGGCCUUUGCUGAGGGUAGCACAGCAAAUGAGGAUGCAUCUCCCAGCAGGUGACGUGCCCGGUCCUGUGACUCAUGCCCUUUAUCCCAGUAAGUGAUCUGGCUCUGGUAAAGUGCCCUAGGGAGCCUUGCCUGGACAAGGAGCACCUCGUGAUAGUCUGCCCUGUGCAACCCGCUGCUGUUUCUGACGAGGUUAAGCUGGAUUCAAAUGCUAGGUGACAGGACCUUGCCUUGCACGAUGGUUUCUUACCCCACAAUAUUCAUCUCAGGGGUGAGCAGGCUAGCAACAUUCUUGGAUGACUGUCCUGAAUAGGCAAAGCAGUCUGCCUGAUGUAGCCACCCCACUUUCUAGGGUCAAUGACCCAUCUGCGGCUCCCAGCCUGGGAGUCCUAGAUGCUUAGAUUAGGUUCUUUUUCUCUCUUAGGGUCAAAUGCAAACAAAAAUGCUGUGAGACGCAGGACAUCAGGGGCAUCCCAGGGCCUGAAUAUUCUUACUCUGACCAGAGCCGGCUCCGGGCAGCUGUCAGCCAUGCCUUAAAAAUCAGAAGUCUGCACACUUUUUCCGUAAAGGGCCAGGUAUUAAAUCUUUCAGGUUCAUGGGCCACAUGUGGUCUCAGAUGCAACUACCCAGCACUGCCAUUGUGGCAUGGAAGCAGCCAUAGAGACUUUGUAAAUGAAUGGGCACGGUGGCAUUCCAAUAAAACUUCAUUUACAAAAACAAGCCAUGGGCUGGAUUUGGACUAUGAGUUAUACUUUGCCAACACCUGGUUUAAAUUAAAUCUGAACUUCCCUCGGAG
rnacentral:lncRNA from 1 species